UACGUAGGUGGCGAGCGUUGUCCGGAAUUACUGGGCGUAAAGGGUGCGUAGGCGGAUAUUUAAGUCAGAUGUGAAAUCCCUAAGCUCAACUUAGGAAUAGCAUUUGAAACUGGGUAUCUGGAGUGCAGGAGAGGGAAGCGGAAUUCCUAGUGUAGCGGUGAAAUGCGUAGAUAUUAGGAAGAACACCAGUGGCGAAGGCGGCUUCCUGGACUGUAACUGACGCUGAGGCACGAAAGCGUGGGGAG
rnacentral:rRNA from 1 species